rnacentral:rRNA from 1 species
CAGUCGCCACGGUAAUACGUAGGGUGCAAGCGUUAAUCGGAAUUACUGGGCGUAAAGCGUGCGCAGGCGGUUAUAUAAGACAGAUGUGAAAUCCCCGGGCUCAACCUGGGAACUGCAUUUGUGACUGUAUAGCUAGAGUACGGCAGAGGGGGAUGGAAUUCCGCGUGUAGCAGUGAAAUGCGUAGAUAUGCGGAGGAACACCGAUGGCGAAGGCAAUCCCCUGGGCCUGUACUGACGCUCAUGCACGAAAGCGUGGGGAGCAAACAGGAUUAGAUACCCCCGUAGUUCCUGUCUCUUAUAC